UUCCUGGAGGGCUAGUGGUUAGGCCACAGCACUCUCACUGCUGUGGCCCAGGUUCAAAUCCUGGCCAGGGAA